rnacentral:rRNA from 1 species
UACGUAGGGGGCAAGCGUUGUCCGGAAUUAUUGGGCGUAAAGCGCGCGCAGGCGGUCCUUUAAGUCUGAUGUGAAAGCCCACGGCUCAACCGUGGAGGGUCAUUGGAAACUGGGGGACUUGAGUGCAGAAGAGGAAAGCGGAAUUCCACGUGUAGCGGUGAAGUGCGUAGAGAUGUGGAGGAACACCGGUGGCGAAGGCGGCAUCCUGGACCGGUAUUGACGCUGAGGCGCGAAAGCCAGGGGAGCAAACGGG